rnacentral:rRNA from 1 species
GACGUAGGGCGCAAGCGUUGUCCGGAUUUAUUGGGCGUAAAGAGCUCGUAGGCGGCCUGUCGCGUCGACCGUGAAAACCCGCAGCUCAACUGCGGGCUUGCGGUCGAUACGGGCAGGCUGGAGUUCGGUAGGGGAGACUGGAAUUCCUGGUGUAGCGGUGGAAUGCGCAGAUAUCAGGAGGAACACCAAUAGCGAAGGCAGCUCGCUGGGACGUUACUGACACUGAGACACGAAAGCGUGGGGAGCAAACAGG